rnacentral:lncRNA from 1 species
GCAUAGCCCAACACAUGCAUUGCAUCCAUUAAUUUUAACAGAGAAAGGACCCGACAAAGUUAAAACCUUAUUGAGGAUAAACUAUAUACUGUUGGUAGGUACUACCUUUCAAACUGCCUGUCAAGAUUAGAAAAAUAAAUAUUAUUAGGCAAUGCUAGCUGGCGAUUGGUAUGGUACUUGUUAAUGGCCUCAGCUAACUAG